rnacentral:tRNA from 1 species
AUUUACUUGCGGUGUUGGUUUCAGGUAUCUAUUUCUCUAAAAAAGAGAUGAAAGGAAAAGAGUUCUUUAAAGGAGAUGGUUCGGUUCCUUGGUAUGUU